rnacentral:snRNA from 1 species
UUAAGUAACGUUAUACCACA